AAAUCCCUGCCGUGCACGUUAGGAAGCCGAUUAAUUAGUGAACCAACACUAUUUAAAAGGGAGCUUCGCUCUUCCGGGGCCGAGGCCCCGGAAGGAGGGCACCCACUUUUAACAGACGGUUCAGACUAUCAUUCCUAACGGCACAAGCGGGGAUUUU
rnacentral:other from 1 species